rfam:Ovis aries breed Texel chromosome 1, whole genome shotgun sequence.
UCCUUGUUGGCUUAGAUGGUAAAGAAUCUGCCUGUAAUGCUGGAGACCCAGGUUAAAUCCCUGGGUCAGGAA